rnacentral:rRNA from 1 species
AUUGAACGCUGGCGGCAUGCCUUACACAUGCAAGUCGAACGGUAACGGGCCUUCGGGUGCCGACGAGUGGCGAACGGGUGAGUAAUGUAUCGGAACGUACCUUUCAGUGGGGGAUAACGUAGCGAAAGUUACGCUAAUACCGCAUAUUCUGUGAGCAGGAAAGCAGGGGAUCGCAAGAACUUGCGCGGAUUGAGCGGCCGAUAUCAGAUUAGCUAGUUGGUGAGGUAAAGGCUCACCAAGGCGACGAUCUGUAGCGGGUCGGAGAGGAUGAUCCGCCACACUGGAACUGAGACACGGUCCAGACUCCUACGGGAGGCAGCAGUGGGGAAUCUUGGACAAUGGGGGCAACCCUGAUCCAGCCAUGCCGCGUGAGUGAAGAAGGCCUUCGGGUUGUAAAGCUCUUUCGGCCGGGAAGAAAUCGUAUCAGCUAAUACCUGGUGCGGAUGACGGUACCGGCAUAAGAAGCACCGGCUAACUACGUGCCAGCAGCCGCAGUAAUAC